ACUUGUUAGGAAGUUUUUUGGGAUUUGCUGAGGAGGAUUCGAACUUCUCCUCCGGAUUCCCACCGAACUUCUCUCUCGUUG